rnacentral:rRNA from 1 species
GAUGAACGCUGGCGGCGUGCCUAAUACAUGCAAGUCGAGCGAACGGACGAGAAGCUUGCUUCUCUGAUGUUAGCGGCGGACGGGUGAGUAACACGUGGAUAACCUACCUAUGAGACUGGGAUAACUUCGGGAAACCGGGGCUAAUACCGGAUAAUAUUUUGAACCGCAUGGUUCAAAAGUGAAAGACGGUCUUGCUGUCACUUAUAGAUGGAUCCACGCUGCAUUAGCUAGUUGGUAAGGUAACGGCUUACCAAGGCAACGAUGCAUAGCCGACCUGAGAGGGUGAUCGGCCACACUGGAACUGAGACACGGUCCAGACUCCUACGGGAGGCAGCAGUAGGGAAUCUUCCGCAAUGGGCGAAAGCCUGACGGAGCAACGCCGCGUGAGUGAUGAAGGUCUUCGGAUCGUAAAACUCUGUUAUUAGGGAAGAACAUAUGUGUAAGUAACUGUGCACAUCUUGACGGUACCAAAUCAGAAAGCCACGGCUAACUACGUG